GCCUCCUUAUCUAUUUCUCCUCAUCCUCCUUCAAGUUCGUCCAUGAGUCCUCUCCCUCCAUGUUGACUCCCUCCACCCUUUUUUUUUCUAGCUAGCAACCCCUCCGUCACCUUUUCCUCCAUCCUCAUCUACUUCUUCUUCUCAUCCUCCUUCAAGACUGCGUACAAAACCUACUUAUCUAUGGUGGCUCCCUCCACCUUUAUCCCUUUCUCAUUAACGAUCCCUCCUCCCUAGACAUGGGCACCGAGCUGGGCCACCCAUGACACGGCCUAACCCAAUAUGAAUUAGAUCAUACCAGAUAUGACCUACUUACUAC
rnacentral:lncRNA from 1 species